rnacentral:rRNA from 1 species
CCUGCGGAAGGAUCAUUACCUAGAGUUGUAGGCUUUGCCUGCUAUCUCUUACCCAUGUCUUUUAAGUACCUUACGUUUCCUCGGCGGGUCCGCCCGCCGAUUGGACAAUUUAAACCAUUUGCAGUUGCAAUCAGCGUCUGAAAAAACUUAAUAGUUACAACUUUCAACAACGGAUCUCUUGGUUCUGGCAUCGAUGAAGAACGCAGCGAAAUGCGAUAAGUAGUGUGAAUUGCAGAAUUCAGUGAAUCAUCGAAUCUUUGAACGCACAUUGCGCCCCUUGGUAUUCCAUGGGGCAUGCCUGUUCGAGCGUCAUUUGUACCUUCAAGCUCUGCUUGGUGUUGGGUGUUUGUCUCGCCUCUGCGUGUAGACUCGCCUCAAAACAAUUGGCAGCCGGCGUAUUGAUUUCGGAGCGCAGUACAUCUCGCGCUUUGCACUCAUAACGACGACGUCCAAAAGUACAUUUUUACACUCUUGACCUCGGAUCAGGUAGGGAUACCCGCUGAACUUAAGCAUAUC